UAGCCUAGUGGAUAAGGCAAUGGACCGCCAAUCCGGAGACGGCGGGUUCAAUUCCCGU
rfam:Aedes albopictus isolate Foshan contig114895, whole genome shotgun sequence.